AGCUUCCUACGGGACGCAGCAGUGAGGAAUAUUGGUCAAUGGGCGCGAGCCUGAACCAGCCAAGUCGCGUGAGGGAAGACGGUCCUAUGGAUUGUAAACCUCUUUUGUCGGGGAGCAAAAGACGCCACGCGUGGCGUUCCGAGAGUACCCGAAGAAAAAGCAUCGGCUAACUCCGUGCCAGCAGCCGCGGUAAUACGGAGGAUGCAAGCGUUAUCCGGAUUUAUUGGGUUUAAAGGGUGCGCAGGCGGAAGAUCAAGUCAGCGGUAAAAUUGAGAGGCUCAACCUCUUCGGGCCGUUGAAACUGG
rnacentral:rRNA from 1 species